rnacentral:rRNA from 1 species
GACGAACGCUGGCGGCGUGCUUAACACAUGCAAGUCGAACGGAAAGGCCCUGCUUGCAGGGUACUCGAGUGGCGAACGGGUGAGUAACACGUGGGUGAUCUGCCCUGCACUUCGGGAUAAGCCUGGGAAACUGGGUCUAAUACCGGAUAGGAGCCAUUUUAGUGUGAUGGUUGGAAAGUUUUUUCGGUGUAGGAUGAGCUCGCGGCCUAUCAGCUUGUUGGUGGGGUAAUGGCCUACCAAGGCGGCGACGGGUAGCCGGCCUGAGAGGGUGGACGGCCACAUUGGGACUGAGAUACGGCCCAGACUCCUACGGGAGGCAGCAGUGGGGAAUAUUGCACAAUGGGCGCAAGCCUGAUGCAGCGACGCCGCGUGGGGGAUGACGGCCUUCGGGUUGUAAACUCCUUUCGCUAGGGACGAAGCUUUUUGUGACGGUACCUAGAUAAGAAGCACCGGCUAACUACGUG